rnacentral:lncRNA from 1 species
UGACAGUUGGUUUCUUAACGUCCGGUGGCAAAUAUUUCAUGCACAAUUAACGUGAAGAGAGAGUGAGUGACAUUAUAUCUAAAAGAGGCAUCGGGUUUAACUUCCGCACUCUGACCGGACAUGACUGCGUAUAUGUACAUCCCGCACAUAUAAAUGGACUCUUAUCAUUGGCAAUGAUUUAACUGCAAAUCGGAACAAGACCAAUAAAGACCAUAUUUUCUAUUCCCUUGAUCUUCUUUGAGAGGUUACUGUCGAG